AUUGAACGCUGGCGGCAGGCCUAACACAUGCAAGUCGAACGGUAACAGGAAGAAGCUUGCUUCUUUGCUGACGAGUGGCGGACGGGUGAGUAAUGUCUGGGAAACUGCCUGAUGGAGGGGGAUAACUACUGGAAACGGUAGCUAAUACCGCAUAACGUCGCAAGACCAAAGAGGGGGACCUUCGGGCCUCUUGCCAUCGGAUGUGCCCAGAUGGGAUUAGCUAGUAGGUGGGGUAACGGCUCACCUAGGCGGCGAUCCCUAGCUGGUCUGAGAGGAUGACCAGCCACACUGGAACUGAGACACGGUCCAGACUCCUACGGGAGGCAGCAGUGGGGAAUAUUGCACAAUGGGCGCAAGCCUGAUGCAGCCAUGCCGCGUGUAUGAAGAAGGCCUUCGGAUUGUAAAGUACUUUCAGCGGGGAGGAAGGGAGUAAAGUUAAUACCUUUGCUCAUUGACGUUACCCGCAGAAGAAGCACCGGCUAACUCCGUG
rnacentral:rRNA from 1 species